CUUUGUAAUUAUUUAAUAUAUUUAACUUAUUUUAAUAUUUGUUUUUGUAGGUCAUACUCAAAGGGAAUCUUUUGCCACUCUUCCAGUAUGAAUUCUUUUAGCUGAUUGCGGUUUUUGGGCUGUCUUUUCCCACUUUCUUCUUGAAGUAGGCCCACAAAUUUUCAAUGGGGCUAAGAUCGGGGCUCUGGGGUGGUGUAUCAAUAACUUUUCCACAGUUGUAAAGCACCCAAGCUCUCACAUUGGACUCUAUGUUUGGGAUCAUUGUCUUGAUAAAACUUGAAUUUGGCCAUAUUGUCCGUAAUGAGCCCAAAUUUCUCCGCACUGCUUUUUAAAUUUGUUUUUAAAAUUUGGAGGUACUGUUUGACAUCCAUUGUGUUCUCAAUAAAUGCAAUAUUUCCCACUCCUCGGAUAGAGAUGCACCCCCAAAUCAUAACCGCAAAUUUUCCAAACUUUACAGUCGGAAAGAUGUUUCGGUUAUCUAAAGCUAUUAACGGCUUGCGCCAUACUCUGGGUGUACCAUCAUUGUAAUAAAGCAUCAUUUCUGUUUCGUCGCACUAUAUAUGACGUCAUCCCAAUACUCUGCCGGCUUACUGAUCAUGUUAACAGCGAAAGUGAAGCGCUUUUCCACAUUGACCGACGAAAGCAGCGGUUUUUUUCGUGCCACUCUGGAAGAGUAUUCAUGGCGUAGAAUAACCUGGCGUACUGUUUCGUGUGAAACAACCAAGUCAAGUUCCUUGGCCAGAGUCCUGACCGAUAUUUGCGGAUUCGGAUUAUCUUUCCUCAUGAUUACGCGGUCUGCCCGUCUGUCUAUCUUCCUUUUACGGCCACCUCCAGAUUUUGUUUCCAGUCUCCCUUCGUUCUUCGCGCGACUUAGGACAUUGUAAAUUGUUUUCCUUGAUACUGAAAACAUUUCUACCAUGUCUGCAACAGAUUUGCCCAACUGGUGAUUAUAGUAAAUCAACUGGACAACGUCAAAACUAAGUCUUUUGCCAGGCAUUUUAAAAAUUUCAGAAUGUUACUCUGUACAUGUGCACCGGUCAAAAUUUCGCAACCAAA